GAAGAUACAACCAAGAGAAGAUCUUUCAGAAGUAGAGUUUUUAGAAGUGCCGAAAAACCUUUCUCCAGUUUUAGCCAGGAGCGCAAUUUGAACUGCAAGUUUUCUACUCUAAAACUAGUGCUGGUUAUUAUAAUUUUUGGAGCAUUUUUGACCCUCCUAAAGUCUCCAGCAAUUUACAACACAGACCACCUAGCCAGUUUCAGACAUCGGUAUAUUGUCUUGCCUAAUCUUGAAAUAAUUUUUUAUGAAUGAUUUAGCUUACAUUUAAUAUGUUUAAUUGCUUUCUUAAUGAUGCAUGCAAGGGUACUUUCUUACCGAUCUGCCACGUUUUUGAAGAUCUAAAUGCCAUACAGACUUUAUUAAUNGUUUGUAUCGUUGAUGGAAAUAUGGAAUUGAAGAUCAAAGAAGGAAAUGUUUUAAAUGAAUCCCAUUCAUCUGAUUUGGAACGUGAUUAUUAUUGUGGUGGUUAGCCAAUUUAUGACUUUCGUCUUAGAGGAUGAAUUGUAGGAUUUGGCGAGAAAUGUUUUAGAUUCACUGCUGUUUAUGUAUUGUGAUAUUUGUUGGACAAGUUUGUUAUGAGUGUUUUAUUGUUAAUUGUCAUAUUAGAGGGAAAUCUGAAAUGCAAGUCUAAAAUGACUUGCUUGGUGAACAUAUUUAAGAAAUGUGUGUAAACAACGCAGGUUAUAAAAUUAAAUGUUACGUUCCUGUUUCAUUAAUGAGCUUUGAAAAUAUGAUGAUAGUAGGAUCAUCAAUCAUUAUUAAGACUGGUAUGACUUAUGUUUCAAGGUAAAUGUAUAACUUUGAAUGAGACACAUGACAUUGGUGUACAAAUCACAAGAGCAUUUUUUGGUUAAUACUUGGAUUGGUUUCCCCCAUAUACUUAUCAUCACCUGGCAUUCCUUUAAUACAUAAUUACAUAUACAGGAACCAAACCAGAUAUCUCUACUUCUUUGUCUAGCAUCAUUGGGUCAUGUAAGAAACAAUUUUCACAUGUCCUAAAAUUGAAAAUAAUUAUGACAAAACCAACAUCAAAGAGACUAGGCUACAUUUUUCUUGGAAUUCGGAAGGAUGAAACUGGAGGAAAUUGAAAAUAGAAAUGAAUUAGCUUAGUUGUGCUCUCUUCUGUUUCCUCCAUCUUCUUCACACUUUUAGAGGAAUUAAGAGGAAAAAUUAAAUAUCAAGGAGUGAUGCCACAACUUCAAUUGGACACUCUAGGAAUCUAGCAUGGGAAUGAGUGAAUAUUGCCCUAGGAAGGAAGAUGAGGAUAUGCCACUUUUUGAUAUAUUACAAGCUUAUUCUAUCUGAUUGGGCCACAAAAAGAAGUACAAGUUUGCUGGAAAGUCAUGAGUUCAGAUGAUAAUGUGACAAGGGUUCUGAACAUGAAUAGAUCUGCAAAAGUCAUUGUGUUAUCAGUUGCUGGGACUGAAGAAGUAUUUGAUGAUCAUAUGAUGAGCUUUAAUAUAUCUGUUCCACCUAAGCAAGAUUUUUAAGACCUUUAAACGAUUUACAAAGAAAGUCCGAGCAACUAGGGGCCUACACUAUUGAAGGGGUUUAGCACACCAGAUGUAUUUUAAAUAAUUUUCCUGUACUUUUGAAGUGGUAAGUUUAUUAUUAUAUUGGCUCGACAUUGUAGCAAAGUAACAGGUCCAGAUACGGUCCAUACGGAUAUUUUUAAGUUGAUAAUAAAAGAAAGCACGAGAUCUAUCAUUUAGUUUAAUAUUACUCUGCCCAAAAAUUUCAUUGGGACUGCUACAAGGAAAGCGGUGAUAUAUGAUAUCAAUAAUAAUUUGCAUAUUUGAUCUAAAUGAUGUUUCAUGUAUAUAUAACAUUAGCAGAUAAACAUAUUUCACCCACAACUCUCGUAUGUGAAGUUAUGUAAAUCUUUUUAAAAGGUUAACCAACCUAGGGACCGGAAUAUAGUCUAAUAUCCAUAAUUUAAUAUCAGGUGAAUGUUAUAUCUCUACAUAGAUGGUUUUGUUGAGGAUUUGGGCAAAGAAAUAGCUCAUUCACUUAUUCAGACUUGGGAUGGUUUUUAAGUUAGGCCUUUAGGGUCGUGUUCUAAUGGAGACUUUAAGUAACUAAAGAUUUAUGUCUUAGUGUCUUAGUGUUGAUCUCUUAAGUGAUGUUUUCUUCAUAAUAGUGUACUGUACUGUCAUAUCUUGAUAAAUUUGUAUGAUGAAAAAGUUUGAUUAAUAGUAUGGUACGAACUAGAAAUUUAUUCAAAUCUUUACCUUAGCUAAACCCCCCCGCAAUUUCUUCCCUUUAUAUAUCACUCUUCGAGUUUUUAGUUAUCUCUUUGUUCUUUUCUUUAAAAGGCGAGGAUGGGUUAUAUUCCUUCUGUAGCUCCUUUUAAAUACUUUGGAUAAUUCUAUUACCAUUAAGGUCUAGCCAAUAAGUAUUGGUGUUCUUGCCUGUGCAUACAAAUGAAUCAUGAUACCCGCACCAAUAUAUGUAGAUUUGACCAUGGUGGAACAUUGUCCAUUCCUUUUAUAUUUAAUGGAGUCUCUUUGUUGAUAUGAACACGUGGUUGGUGCCACACCAAUAUAAACCAUGUUCGUCAACUAAGUUUGUUCAAUGGUUGUAAUUGUUGGAAUAAAUAUAUAUGACCUAAGGUCUGUCUUUGAUUGGCAGAAUUGGUUGAAUUCAUUCUCAAAUCCUAUGAAAGAAAGCCACAGAGCAUUUGACUGUUAACCUCUAUUAAGUAGACCUUUUAUUAAAUUUUAAACAAGUAAGCAAGCUGUAGCUAUUAAUUAGUUAAUCUACCUUGCUAAAUUUGUAAUCUCCAAUCCUGUGAUCUCUAAUGUUGACUUUCUUUUCUUCUUAUUGUUAUCUGAAAAAAAAUCCUUAGUAUUAGUAUUUAUAACAGUGAAUACAAUCAUGGUCAGCAAUUUGCUAGCUUGCCUUUCUCUAUUAUUGAUUACGGCCAUGCAUUUCUGAGGCAUGUAUGACGUAUUUAAUAUGGUGUUUACAUUACCAGUAACUAAAAAACUCUCAGUCUAUUUUCUGCAUUUAUUUUUCUGUUCUCUUAAUUAAUAAUUUGUAUAUGCCUGAUUUAUUUUUGAUGUCUGGUCCAGAGAAGAUACAACCAAGAGAAGAUCUUUCAGAAGUAGAGUUUUUAGAAGUGCCGAAAAACCUUUCUCCAGUUUUAGCCAGGAGCGCAAUUUGAACUGCAAGUUUUCUACUCUAAAACUAGUGCUGGUUAUUAUAAUUUUUGGAGCAUUUUUGACCCUCCUAAAGUCUCCAGCAAUUUACAACACAGACCACCUAGCCAGUUUCAGACAUCGGUAUAUUGUCUUGCCUAAUCUUGAAAUAAUUUUUUAUGAAUGAUUUAGCUUACAUUUAAUAUGUUU
rnacentral:lncRNA from 1 species